rnacentral:lncRNA from 1 species
CCAUCAUCGUUUCUUAUUUUCUGCAUUUUUCGGCCAAAAAACUAGAAUUACGCCCGAUUCCCAUAUAUUCGGGUGCUAUAUACCCACGCCUUCCAAGUGGUCAGGGGAGCCGCGGACCCCGAUCGCCUAAAAAUUUUCCGGACUAUCAAAUACGACCUAAGGUACCAUAGUCACUGUCCCACCAUGAUCGUUCCAAAUGCUUUGCAUUUUUCGGCCUAAAAACUAGAACUCUGCGCGAUUUCGAUAUUUUCGUGUUCUUUAGCCCACGCCUUCUAAGGGGUCCCAGGAACCCCGAACCCCGAUCGCCUAAAAUUUUUCCGGGCCAUCAAAAUACGACCUAAGGAACCAUAGUAACCACCCCGCCAUGAUCGUUCCUCAUUUUUUGCGUUUUUCGGCCAAACAACUAGAAUUCCGCGCGAUUCCCAUAUUUUUGUGUGUUAUAGCCCACGCCUUCCGAGUGGUCCCGAGACCUCCUGACCCCUAUCGCCUAAAAAUUUUCCAGACAAUCAAAUACGACCUAAGGAACCA